CGAUGAGGGGAUCCCAAGUGCUGGCACGUAAGUGUCAGCUGUUUCUUAGUCUAAAAAACUGAGAGAGUAAGAGCUGGGUAAGACGGGUGCCAGCCGCCGCGGUAAUACCUGCAGCUCAAGUGGUGGCCGCUAUUAUUGGGCCUAAAACGUCCGUAGCCGGUUUAGUAAAUGCCUGGGUAAAUUGUGUAGCUUAACUAUACGAAUUCCGGGUAGACUGCUAAACUUGGGACCGGGAGAGGCUAGAGGUACUCCUGGGGUAGAGGUGAAAUUCUGUAAUCCUAGGGGGACCACCAGUGGCGAAGGCGUCUAGCUAGAACGGGUCUGACGGUGAGGGACGAAGCCCUGGGGCGCAAACCGGAUUAGAUACCCGGGUAGUCCAGGGUGUAAACGCUGCUUGCUUGAUGUUAGUUGGGCUCCGAGCCCAACUAGUGUCGGAGAGAAGUUGUUAAGCAAGCUGCCUGGGAAGUACGGUCGCAAGACUGAAACU
rnacentral:rRNA from 1 species